rnacentral:sRNA from 1 species
AUCCGGGUCUUUUGCGUUCUCUUUCCCUCUCCCAACAUGGCGGCCUCAGCAAUACCAGUUUCCAGUGUGAUCCAUUAUUGACCUUCAAGAACUAAGCAAAAAAGAAGAAUAAGAAGGGGAAGACUAUCUCCCUAACAGACUUUCUGGCUGAGGAUGGGGGUACUGGUGGAGGAAGCACCUAUGUUUCCAAACCAGUCAGCUGGGCUGAUGAAACAGAUGACCUGGAAGGAGAUGUUUCAACAACUUGGCACAGUAACGAUGACGAUGUGUAUAGGGCGCCUCCAAUUGACCGUUCCAUCCUUCCCACUGCUCCACGGGCUGCUCGGGAACCCAAUAUCGACCGGAGCCGUCUUCCCAAAUCGCCACCCUACACUGCUUUUCUAGGAAACCUACCCUAUGAUGUUACAGAAGAGUCAAUUAAGGAAUUCUUUCGAGGAUUAAAUAUCAGUGCAGUGCGUUUACCACGUGAACCCAGCAAUCCAGAGAGGUUGAAAGGUUUUGGUUAUGCUGAAUUUGAGGACCUGGAUUCCCUGCUCAGUGCCCUGAGUCUCAAUGAAGAGUCUCUAGGUAACAGGAGAAUUCGAGUGGAC